GCCCAUCUUUCAUGUACAGGUUCCGCAACGGACCGACUUCUUGACAUUUUUCACAGGGUCCAAAGACAGCGGCAGCAAAGGUCUGGUCGCACAUCUCCCAGGAUGUGAAAACCUGAGGCCGGGAACACAGACAGGGGAAGAAGGCGCAGAAUCGUCCAACUGGAAACUGACCUCUCGUUCCACAACCGCACGGUAUACUUCAUCUAUAAACAUCGUUUUCCCGCUUCAGUUCAGCAGCUUGGUUUGGCGGUUUGCAGAACGUGCACCACAACCCGAAAGACAUACAGGGUGGCAGGGUGGAGAUACGUCUCUACCAAAGGAGGUGUAAGGCGCUCCUUCCCUCAGGGUCACCCUUGGGCAAGGUGUAGCGCCUGCUUAGCCCUCCCUGAUCACAGUCAUGUGAAACCUUGGGAGCAGGUGGUGGAUGGUCAUAUGAGCAGCUGGUGCAGAUCAUGCAACCACUGACACCAGGCAGACAAUCUCUGAAGAGUAUUGAUAAUGGCUAGAGCCACCCGUCUUGUAAAGACACUGCCCAGAAGAAGGUAAUGGCAAUUUGCCCAGAACCAUCAUGGUCGUGGAUACAGAAAAGAAUAAGAAUUUAUUAGAAGAUUAAAGACCGAUAUAAGACCAUGAUCGCCCAUGUCAUACAACACAGCACAUAAUGAUGGUGAUUUAUUCUUUAUAAGUGUUGAAUGUUGCACGUUGCACUACCACACCAUAGAAAUUUAUUAAUGUAAAAACACAUGGUGAAUAAAGUUGAUCCUUGAUUUGAUUUCAAGGAUGUGACAAAAAAAAUCAACUCCAUUUCUCCAGGAAGUUAUUAAGAAUCUAGGGAAAACUAGAUCUGGACAAAGUAGAGCAUGUACCUGGUCUGGUAAUUAAAUGGAUUUGAAAAUGCACACUUUGAAUCUUCUUCCACAAUUCAGAACUCUAACUUGUAGCUGGUCACCAAAUAGGUAAUCAUAUGAUAGCAAGGUAAUUGAAUCGGGAGAGGAACCUGGUUGAACACCUUGAACUU